rnacentral:rRNA from 1 species
GAAAGAUUUAUCGCCGAUAGAUCGGCCCGCGUCUGAUUAGCUAGUUGGUGAGGUAAUGGCUCACCAAGGCGACGAUCAGUAGCUGGUCUGAGAGGAUGAUCAGCCACAUUGGGACUGAGACACGGCCCAAACUCCUACGGGAGGCAGCAGUGGGGAAUAUUGGACAAUGGGCGCAAGCCUGAUCCAGCCAUGCCGCGUGAGUGAUGAAGGCCUUAGGGUUGUAAAGCUCUUUUGUCCGGGAAGAUAAUGACUGUACCGGAAGAAUAAGCCCCGGCUAACUUCGUGCCAGCAGCCGCGGUAAUACGAAGGGGGCUAGCGUUGCUCGGAAUCACUGGGCGUAAAGGGCGCGUAGGCGGACUUUUAAGUCGGGGGUGAAAGCCCAGGGCUCAACCCUGGAAUUGCCUUCGAUACUGGGAGUCUUGAGUUCGGAAGAGGUUGGUGGAACUGCGAGUGUAGAGGUGAAAUUCGUAGAUAUUCGCAAGAACACCGGUGGCGAAGGCGGCCAACUGGUCCGAUACUGACGCUGAGGCGCGAAAGCGUGGGGAGCAAACAGGAUUAGAUACCCUGGUAGUCCACGCCG